AAGAGUUACUAAACUCCUUUAAAACCAUUGUGAACGUUACGGUCAUCGUUGCUUCGGCGAGCGGUCCGCCCUCGCCCCCCUCUCACAGGGAGGGCUCGCCGAGCGAAACUAAACUAUUAUGCAUCAUUAGUCUCUCUGAGUAAUUCUUAUAAUAAGUUA
rnacentral:misc_RNA from 1 species